CCUACGGGGGGCUGCAGUGGGGAAUAUUGGACAAUGGGGGGAACCCUGAUCCAGCCAUGCCGCGUGUGUGAAGAAGGCCCUCGGGUUGUAAAGCACUUUCAGUGAGGAAGAACGCCUGGUGGUUAAUACCCAUCAGGAAAGACAUCACUCACAGAAGAAGCACCGGCUAACUCCGUGCCAGCAGCCGCGGUAAUACGGAGGGUGCGAGCGUUAAUCGGAAUUACUGGGCGUAAAGCGCGCGUAGGUGGCUUGAUAAGCCGGUUGUGAAAGCCCCGGGCUCAACCUGGGAACGGCAUCCGGAACUGUCAAGCUAGAGUGCAGGAGAGGAAGGUAGAAUUCCCGGUGUAGCGGUGAAAUGCGUAGAGAUCGGGAGGAAUACCAGUGGCGAAGGCGGCCUUCUGGACUGACACUGACACUGAGGUGCGAAAGCGUGGGUAGCAAACAGGAUUAGAUAUCCCAGUAGUC
rnacentral:rRNA from 1 species